GAUGAACGCUGGCGGCGUGCCUAAUACAUGCAAGUCGAGCGAACGGACGAGAAGCUUGCUUCUCUGAUGUUAGCGGCGGACGGGUGAGUAACACGUGGAUAACCUACCUAUAAGACUGGGAUAACUUCGGGAAACCGGAGCUAAUACCGGAUAAUAUUUUGCACCGCAUGGUUCAAAAGUGAAAGACGGUCUUGCUGUCACUUAUAGAUGGAUCCGCGCUGCAUUAGCUAGUUGGUAAGGUAACGGCUUACCAAGGCAACGAUGCAUAGCCGACCUGAGAGGGUGAUAGGCCACACUGGAACUGAGACACGGUCAAGACUACUGCGGGAGGCAGCAGUAGGGAAUCUUCCGCAAUGGGCGAGAGCCUGACGGAGCAGCGCCGCGUGAGUGAUGAAGGUCUUCGGAUCGUAAAACUCUGUUAUUAGGGAAGAACAUAUGUGUAAGUAACUGUGCACAUCUUGACGGUAACUAAUCAGAAAGCCACGGCUAACUACGUG
rnacentral:rRNA from 1 species